rnacentral:piRNA from 1 species
GCGGAGAGGGCCUGGCCAGCAUG